rnacentral:lncRNA from 1 species
UCCAUUAAACAGUCACAGAAGGUGGCCAGGGAUCCAGAAUUUAAUGCCACACAUGAGACUCUAAACCGGAUAAGCUGCUCAGCACUGAAUAGGGACUGUGGCCCCUUUGGUUUUUCUGGACUAUCCAAUAAUUGGCUAUUUUGUAGUAAUAUGUGUUUAUCAUUAAGGGAAAGAUAAUGUGAAAUUCUAUGAACUAUGCCAGAACUACCAAGAACUACCCAAGAGAAAGACUGAGAGGCAAGCUGAUCUCACCAUAUCUUGCCUAUAUACUCCCUUACAUAUAGGCUAAAUGAAGUUCCUCCUACAGACCUGUUUUACGAACCCUCCAAUAACUUGCCAUAGUAAGUCAAUACUAGAGCCCUUUCCCACUUCCUCUUCAGUCAACCUGCACUCCCACCCUCAACUCCAGCACCACCACCAGCCUCUAUAGCCAUUGCCACGAAGUGGAUCUCUUAACGGUGGCCAUCAGAUUAAUAUUCCCUGACCUCCCAAAGAGGUGUGAAUGGACCUGUCCUAAUUCUCCAUUAACUGAGUUGGGGCAGGCAAUGGUGCCCGUGGAAGGAGGACUGGAAUCCUGGCCCUUAAGGAGGCUACAACAGAACAGCAUAGCUGAAGGUUGUGCUUAUUCCACUCAAUAUAAGGUUCUGUAUGAAUAAAAAAUUUGGGUCUCCUUCAGAAGGAAACUUCUGACUGAAAUUUCAGACCAGAGAAUGAUUUCAGAGAAAGAUAAUAAACAUGAAUAAAGGGCAGCAAAACACAAGGAAAGCAUUACAAAAUCCUCAAGCAUGUGUUUUUACCAUUUUCAAGCCAAAUGUGCGACCCUUAGAAAGGAUGCAGAUUUUAAGGCCUAAGUCACAAGAAUGGAAUGUGAAAAAAAAAUCAGAGUUAGAAUCCUAACUCUGACAUUUGACAAGUUACUUAAUAUUUCCGAGCCCCAGCUUAUCUGGGAAAGGGGGAGAACUGUAUAUCCAUACCCAAACCUCAAUUGCUGUUAAUAUACUGAUGAUUCCCAAAGUCACUUUGUUGCUCUAGUCUUUCUUCUGAGCUUCAACUGUAUAGCCAAUAGAUAGAAGGAAGCUCCAUCUUGCUCCAAAGACAAUGCAAAUUAAUUCAAAGUUUCCAAACACCUUCUGCCCCAUCAAACUCCUUUCUAAUGUCAGGGAAUAUCACUAUACAUCCACUUUUUUGCACAAACCAUAUAUCAAGUCAGUCACUGGUUCUAAUUUUUAUAGAACCUCACGUUGCCCCUUUCCUCUAUGUUUACUGCCUCUGCUUCUGAUUUAGUUUCUCACCCUUUCUCUCCUAAAAAAUUACAAUAGAAUCUCAUAUCCCCAGGGCUUAGGAUAGUGGUUGGUGCAUGGCAAUACUUAAUAGACUUGAAUCCAAACCUGGACUGAGGAAGCAGAUAAAUUAUUACAUCAAUGUGAUGAGCACAAUGGUGUGUGAGGUCCUGCCAUAGAAGGAAGUACUCAGCUGAUGAAAAGGACUCGAGGGUCACAUAAAAAGUUCACAAUAAAAAUGACCUUGAGAGGCAUCUUGCAUUUGACAAUUAAAAUAUUUGUGUACUUGAUAUGUGUCAGGAACUAUGCCAGACAAAACAAUCACCAAAGACAGGCUUUACCUCUAUAGAGAUCAUUACCGAGUAGGCUUGUGUGACCAAACUGUCUAAUCAGGGGAUCCCUGGGUGGCUCAGCGGUUUAGCGCCUGCCUUCAGCCCAGGGCAGGAUCCUGGAGUUCCAGGAUCCAGUCCCACGUCAGAAUCCCUAUAUGGAGCCUGCUUCUCCCUCUGCCUGUGUUUCUGCCUCUCUCUGUGUGUCUCUCAUGAAUAAAUAAAUCUUGAAAAAAAACUGUCUAAACAAUUUAUACAGGGCUACCUGGAUGGCUUAGUCAUUUAAGCAUCUUCCUUCAGCUCAGGUCAUGGUGCCAAGGUCCUGGGAUCCAGCCCUGAGUUAGGCUUUGUGCUCAGUGGGGAGUCUGCUUUUCCCUCUUCCACUGUCCCUCCCCUCAACUUGUGCUCUCUCAUAAAUAAAUAAAUAAAUAAAUAAAUAAAUAAAUAAAUAAAUAAAUAAAUAAAUAAAAUCUUUUUUAAAAACCCAAACAUAUACACAUGGUUGUCCAAUAUUCAUCUCAAAAGUGAAAUCCUAAUUCCCUGCCCCCUUAACACCACCCAAUCACACAUACCAGACCUAUUCCAAUUGCAGUGUUUCCCACAUCAGUUAAUGGCACUUCCUCUUGUCCGUUCAGUCUGAAACCAUUGGUGUCAUUUUGAUGUUUCAUCGCUAACAGUCCAUAUCCAGUCAUCAGAAAAAGGUGUUUCCUCUGCUGAUUAUGUGUAUGACAAUGCUCUCAGAUGAUUAGAAUGGCGGGAGAGAUUUCAGGGAAGUUCUAGAUGUGUGGAGCCUAGUGCAUGAGGCUAGAGACAAAGAGGACAGGUAUAGCAUCUUAAUGUUCAAAGACUAGAUAUGUUUAAAGGGUAGGAGGAGAGAACUGGCAGGCAGGAAUAAAGGUUGCUCUGAGUAGAUGGGAUGCACCUCUGUUUUUUGGAUACCUCACAUUUCUCAGAAGGUGAAACCUCUGCAUUCCCACAUGAGCCAAGAGCUAGAGGAAGUGUAAGAAAUGCUGCAGUCUCCCUAUGAUACAGUAUGAAGGACUGUGGGAUGACUCUACUUCAUUGAUUCCUAAAGAAAUUCAAUAUCCAUCAAACCAAGAGGCAAUGGCAGGCCUCUCGUCCACGAUAGGACCCUAGCACUUAGCACAACAUGUCUACUGCUAGCAGGAUGGGAAAAAAGCCAGGAUGGGAAGAAACAUGAAUGUGUCCCUGCUCUAAAUGAUGACUCUGUGCUUAAGAGAUGGGGGACCAGCCCCCGUUGUGGCUCCCAAGAUGAGAAGAUAUAAGGCCCAGGUCUGUUGAGCCAACAACCUCCAGGUGUUUUCCUAAGGCAUCCCCAAAGACCAAAGGAGAUCUUAUGACAGGCACAUCCUCCCUGCCUAGUGGAAGUUAGGCAGACAGCCACAGAACAAGGAGACAUGAGGGAGGACUCG